rnacentral:tRNA from 1 species
GGAGAGAUGGCCGAGUGGUUGAAGGCGCACGCCUGGAACGCGUGUAGGGGUCAAAAGCCUCUCGUGGGUUCGAAUCCCACUUUCUCCGCCA